CAGAAACUUAAAGGAAUUGACGGGGGCCCGCACAAGCGGUGGAGCAUGUGGUUUAAUUCGAUGAUACGCGAGGAACCUUACCUGGGCUCAAAUGUAUGUUGACGUAUUCUGAAAGGGAUACUUCUUCGGACAAUAUACAAGGUGCUGCAUGGUUGUCGUCAGCUCGUGCCGUGAGGUGUCGGGUUAAGUCCCAUAACGAGCGCAACCCCUAUCAUUAGUUGCCAUCAGGUAAUGCCGGGCACUCUGGAAGGACUGCCAUCGACAAGAUGGAGGAAGGUGGGGAUGACGUCAAGUCAUCAUGGCCCUUAUGUCCAGGGCGACACACGUGCUACAAUGGCCGGCACAACGGGAAGCGAGUUCGCGAGGACGAGCGGAUCCCUCAAAGCCGGUCGCAGUUCGGAUUGAAGUCUGCAACUCGACUUCAUGAAGCUGGAAUCGCUAGUAAUCGUGGAUCAGCCAAGCCGCGGUGAAUACGUUCCCGGGCCUU
rnacentral:rRNA from 1 species